AUUGAACGCUGGCGGCAUGCCUUACACAUGCAAGUCGAACGGUAGCGGGCCUUCGGGUGCCGACGAGUGGCGAACGGGGGAGUAAUACAACGGAACGUGCCCGAUCGUGGGGGAUAACGAGGCGAAAGCUUUGCUAAUACCGCAUACGGUCUACGGAUGAAAGCAGGGGACCGCAAGGCCUUGCGCGGACGGAGCGGCCGAUGGCAGAUUAGGUAGUUGGUGGGAUAAAAGCUUACCAAGCCGACGAUCUGUAGCUGGUCUGAGAGGAUGAUCAGCCACACUGGGACUGAGACACGGCCCAGACUCCUACGGGAGGCAGCAGUGGGGAAUUUUGGACAAUGGGCGCAAGCCUGAUCCAGCCAUGCCGCGUGCAGGAUGAAGGCCUUCGGGUUGUAAACUGCUUUUGUACGGAACGAAAAGCCUUCUUUUAAUACAGGAGGGUCAUGACGGUACCGUAAGAAUAAGCACCGGCUAACUACGUG
rnacentral:rRNA from 1 species